rnacentral:rRNA from 1 species
UACGGGGGGGGGCAAGCGUUGUUCGGAAUUACUGGGCGUAAAGGGCUCGUAGGUGGCCAACUAAGUCGGACGUGAAAUCCCUCGGCUUAACCGGGGAACUGCGUCCGAUACUGGUUGGCUUGAGUUUUGGGAGAGGGAUGCGGAAUUCCAGGUGUAGCGGUGAAAUGCGUAGAUAUCAGGAGGAACACCAAUGGCGAAGGCAGCACUCUGGGACGUGACUGACGCUGAGACGCGAAAGCGUGGGGAGCAAACAGG